CAAGAGCAGUAGGAGAGUUCACAGAAUUCUGCCAUUUGGGAAAGUAGCUUUUAGGGGCGCAGCGGAUUCACCAUGCCCUCCAUUAAGUGAUGGUGGUGACCGGCACUAAGCAGGAGUGACUCAUGAAACCUGUAAAGUCCAGGAGACAGCAAGAUGCCCAGGAGAAAUAGGCUAGAGGAGCUUGAUGGUUAUCCACACAGGCGAUACCUUCUCAGCAAUGCUAUGGAAUAAGAAAGAACGUGAAACACCUCCAGCUGAAUUUUUUAUUUCAUAUUUAGUGUCAAGCCUCCCAGAGACAGAGAUUUGUCCGGGAUGUCUAAAAAACUUAGUACAACCCAUUGUCUGCAUCAUAGACUCAAAAUUCCAGAGUAGACUUCGGACUCAGUCAUCUCAAGGAUGUAGCUAUAGUCUUGUGAGCUAUUUAAAGUGAGAUGGAUUUUCAUCUAUAAAUGUUGUUUUCAAAAAUAAUUCCAGUGAAUUAUGAUAAGGCUGAGUUAAAAAGACAACAUUAAAUUACCUUAACAUUUUAAACGAGAGUCAAUGCUGAACUUUGUUAACAAGAAUGCUUACGAAAGGAGGGCCAUGGAAGAGGAUUUUUGUUUGUUUGUUUGUUUGCUUGC
rnacentral:lncRNA from 1 species